rfam:Candidatus Thiomargarita nelsonii contig_531, whole genome shotgun sequence.
GUGGAUAUAGCUCAAUUGGUAGAGUGUCGGCUUGCCACGCCGAAAGUUAUAGGUUCGAUUCCUAUUAUCUGCG